rnacentral:rRNA from 1 species
AUGCUCCGGCUGGUCUCCGCUCCGCUCCAUCUUGAUGCGCCCCCGUUGCCUCCUGGCGUCGCUCCGUCCGAGCGCCUCCGCUCCCGAGACGACAUGCCUGCGUCCUGCCAACAGGCUCGACUGCUCCGUCUGUGGGUGCGUCAGGCUCGCGGCGUGCGCCGGCUCGGCCUUUGCUCCGGCCGCCACCGCGCUCGCCGGCUCCGCCUCCGCCUGUGGCCGCCUCCGCGUCCGACCAUGGCCGCCUCCUUGCGCCGACCGACUCCUGCACCCGCCGGCUCGUGGCUCCACCCAGCCUCCCGCACAGCCCCGUCCGGCUCCGCCUCGCCGCUGAGCCCGGCCGCCUCCUGCUGCACCCGGCCGCCGGUCGCCGGCGCCCCCGCCCUCUACGCCGUCGCCGCCUGGGUCCACCUCACGCGCGCCCGGCUGCAGCCAGUCGCUUCGGUGGGCCGGCGGGCUGCCUGCGUUGCCUCGCGCCUCUGGCCCCUUCCGGCCACUCGUGCGCGUCCGCCACCGCUGCCCCGCCUUGCGGCUCCGGCCCUCGCGGUCGGCCUCCCACGGCUCGGUCGUGCCCGACUGUUCCCCGCUCCAGUUCCACGCUCCGCAACGCCUACCGGCUUCGUGCCGCUUCGCCGCGUCCGCCCCUCUGCUCGCAGGCCGGCCGGCCGGCUGCGGCGGCGGCUCCGGCCCCGCGCGCCUGUCGGCUCCAUCGCAUCCGCCUCGACCCUGCCGGGUCCGCGCGCACCGGCCGCGCCAGUCCAGCUCCGCGCGGGCUCCCCCGCCAUCCCCAUGCUGGGUUCCUGCCCCUGCCAUGUUGGCCUCCCGCAUCCCGGCCCCUGCGGCUGCAGCCCUACGCCCCGCCGUGCACUGCCGCCUCCGCACCCGGACGGCCGGCCCCGCCCACCACCAGGCUCGGCCUCCCCUGCCGCCGGCUGCUGCGCUCCAGGUCUAGCCGCCUGCUACGACUGA